rnacentral:lncRNA from 1 species
GCCGGACAGAUUGCUCAACAGAGUGGCCACCCUGAGAUUUAUUGACCUUGAUCCACAAUGUCCCUUCAGGGCUUUUAAUCUGCCUUUUCUGUUGUCACUGGCUGUGGUAACGCCCCCUUCCAGGGGCCCUGAGGCUUGGAGGGACAGGAGCAUGGGUGACAUAUCCUGAGGGCUGUACCAUCUGUCCCUGGGGUUCUCUUCUCAGAAGAGGACAGAGAGCCCAUCCUCUGUGGGCCUGGGUAUUUGCUUUUUAAAAACAGCUUUAGGACUGGGGAGAUGGCUUGGUGGAUAACGUGCUUGCUGGGUAAGCACGAGGACCUGAGUUCAAAUCCUCAGGGCUUAAGAAAAAGCUGGGGGGCUGGAGAGAUGGCUCAGUGGUUAGGGGCACACUCACUGGCUGCUCUUCCAGAGGUCCUGAGUUCAAUUCCCAACAACCACAUGGUGGCUCACGACCAUCUCUAAUGGAAUCUGAUGCCCUCCUCUGGCACAUAGGUAAUAGAUGUAUACAUAGGCCAUAUACACAAAAUAAAUAAAUAAUCUUUAAAAAAAGAAAAGAAAA